CGGCGUGCUUAACACUUGCAAGUCGAACGGAAAGGCCCUGCUUUUGUGGGGUGCUCGAGUGGCGAACGGGUGAGUAACACGUGAGUAACCUGCCCUUGACUUUGGGAUAACUUCAGGAAACUGGGGCUAAUACCGGAUAGGAGCUCCUGCUGCAUGGUGGGGGUUGGAAAGUUUCGGCGGUUGGGGAUGGACUCGCGGCUUAUCAGCUUGUUGGUGGGGUAGUGGCUUACCAAGGCUUUGACGGGUAGCCGGCCUGAGAGGGUGACCGGCCACAUUGGGACUGAGAUACGGCCCAGACUCCUACGGGAGGCAGCAGUGGGGAAUAUUGCACAAUGGGCGGAAGCCUGAUGCAGCAACGCCGCGUGCGGGAUGACGGCCUUCGGGUUGUAAACCGCUUUCGCCUGUGACGAAGCGUGAGUGACGGUAAUGGGUAAAGAAGCACCGGCUAACUACGUGCCAGCAGCCGCGGUGAUACGUAGGGUGCGAGCGUUGUCCGGAUUUAUUGGGCGUAAAGGGCUCGUAGGUGGUUGAUCGCGUCGGAAGUGUAAUCUUGGGGCUUAACCCUGAGCGUGCUUUCGAUACGGGUUGACUUGAGGAAGGUAGGGGAGAAUGGAAUUCCUGGUGGAGCGGUGGAAUGCGCAGAUAUCAGGAGGAACACCAGUGGCGAAGGCGGUUCCUUCUGGGCCUUUCCUGACGCUGAGGAGCGAAAGCGUGGGGAGCGAACAGGCUUAGAUACCCUAGUAGUCCACGCUGUAAACGGUGGGUACUAGGUGUGGGGUCCAUUCCACGGGUUCCGUGCCGUAGCUAACGCUUUAAGUACCCCGCCUGGGGAGUACGGCCGCAAGGCUAAAACUCAAAGGAAUUGACGGGGCCCCGCACAAGCGGCGGAGCAUGCGGAUUAAUUCGAUGCAACGCGUAGAACCUUACCUGGGUUUGACAUGGAUCGGGAGUGCUCAGAGAUGGGUGUGCCUCUUUUGGGGUCGGUUCACAGGUGGUGCAUGGCUGUCGUCAGCUCGUGUCGUGAGAUGUUGGGUUAAGUCCCGCAGCGAGCGCAACCCUUGUUCACUGUUGCCAGCACGUUAUGGUGGGGACUCAGUGGAGACCGCCGGGGUCAACUCGGAGGAAGGUGGGGAUGACGUCAAGUCAUCAUGCCCCUUAUGUCCAGGGCUUCACGCAUGCUACAAUGGCUGGUACAGAGAGUGGCGAGCCUGUGAGGGUGAGCGAAUCUCGGAAAGCCGGUCUCAGUUCGGAUUGGGGUCUGCAACUCGACCUCAUGAAGUCGGAGUCGCUAGUAAUCGCAGAUCAGCAACGCUGCGGUGAAUACGUUCCCGGGGCUUGUACACACCGCCCGUCAAGUCAUGAAAGUUGGUAACACCCGAAGCCGGUGGCCUAACCGUUGUGGGGGAGCCGUCGAAGGUGGGACUGGUGAUUAGG
rnacentral:rRNA from 1 species